UUCAUUGCGAUUAGAUCAGCUGUGAAUUGGCUUGAAAAGUGAUACUUUUCUUCAAAACUAUUCCAUUUAGCAUCUGAAUCUUCAUAUUUUGUUUUCUCCAAAGCAUGAGCAAUGCUAACCUGAGUAACACCAAGUUUAGAAGCCAUUAAGGAUGAAACUAAGUUUCCAUCAGUAUAAUUUCCAAUAAUGAGGUCAGGUUUUCCAUCCAUAAGUUCAAGAAUCUU
rnacentral:lncRNA from 1 species